rnacentral:rRNA from 1 species
CCUACGGGCGGCAGCAGUGAGGAAUAUUGGUCAAUGGUCGGGAGACUGAACCAGCCAAGCCGCGUGAGGGAUGAAGGUACAGAGUAUCGUAAACCUCUUUUGUCAGGGAACAAAGGCGGGGACGCGUCCCCGGAUGAGUGUACCUGAAGAAAAAGCAUCGGCUAACUCCGUGCCAGCCGCCGCGGUAAUACGGGGGCUGCGAGCGUUAUCCGGAUUUAUUGGGUUUAAGGGGUGCGCGGGCGGGCUGUUAUGUUAGCGGUAAAAGCCCGGGGCUCAACCCCGGCCCGCCGUUGAAACUGGCAGUCUCGAGUUGGAGAGAAGUAUGCGGAAUGCGCGGUGUAGCGGUGAAAUGCAUAGAUAGCGCGCAGAACUCCGAUUGCGAAGGCAGCGUGCCGGCUCCACACUGACGCUGAGGCACGAAAGCGUGGGUAUCGAACAGGAUUAGAUACCCCAGUAGUC